UGCGUAGGCAGCGAGCGUUGUUCGGAGUUACUGGGCGUAAAGAGUGCGUAGGCGGUUUUCUAAGUUUGGUGUGAAAUCUCCCGGCUCAACUUGGAGGGUGCGCCGAAGACUGGAAGGCUUGAGUAUGGGAGAGGUAAGCGGAAUUCCUGGUGUAGCGGUGAAAUGCGUAGAUAUCAGGAGGAACACCUGCGGUGUAGACGGCUUACUGGACCAUAACUGACGCUGAGGCACGAAAGCGUGGGUAGCAAACAGG
rnacentral:rRNA from 1 species